rnacentral:tRNA from 1 species
GGGCGGUUAGCUCAGCGGUAGAGCACGUGCUUUACACGCACGCGGUCGCAGGUUCGAACCCUGCACCGCCCA